AUUGAACGCUGGCGGCAUGCUUUACACAUGCAAGUCGAACGGUAACAGGCCGCAAGGUGCUGACGAGUGGCGAACGGGUGAGUAAUGCAUCGGAACGUGCCCAGUCGUGGGGGAUAACGCAGCGAAAGCUGCGCUAAUACCGCAUACGAUCUAUGGAUGAAAGCGGGGGACCGUAAGGCCUCGCGCGAUUGGAGCGGCCGAUGUCAGAUUAGGUAGUUGGUGGGGUAAAGGCUCACCAAGCCAACGAUCUGUAGCUGGUCUGAGAGGACGACCAGACACACUGGGACUGAGACACGGGCCAGACUCCUACGGGAGGCAGCAGUGGGGAAUUUUGGACAAUGGGCGCAAGCCUGAUCCAGCAAUGCCGCGUGCAGGAAGAAGGCCUUCGGGUUGUAAACUGCUUUUGUACGGAACGAAACGGUCUGGGUUAAUACCUCGGGCUAAUGACGGUACCGUAAGAAUAAGCACCGGCUAACUACGUGCCAGCAGCCGCAGUAAUAC
rnacentral:rRNA from 1 species